rnacentral:snRNA from 1 species
CAAGGAUUCCCUUAGUAACG